UACAGAGGGUGCAAGCGUUAAUCGGAAUUACUGGCGUAAAGCGCACGUAGGUGGUCACUUAAGUCAGGUGUGAAAUCCCCGGGCUCAACCUGGAAUGGCAUUGAUACUGGUGUCUAGAGUAUGUUAGAGGAAGUGGAAUUCCGGUGUAGCGUGAAAUGCGUAGAUAUCGGAAGAACAUCAGUGCGAGCGACUCUGAUAUACUGACACUGAGAGCGAAGCGUGGGAGCGACAG
rnacentral:rRNA from 1 species